UUGUUUGUUUGUUUUAGAUUUCAGACAGAGGAGGUGGUGUUCCCCUGAGAAUUAUUGACCGCCUCUUUAGUUAUACAUACUCCACUGCACCAACGCCUGUGAUGGAUAAUUCCCGGAAUGCUCCUUUGGCUGGUUUUGGUUACGGCUUGCCAAUUUCUCGUCUGUAUGCAAAGUACUUUCAAGGAGAUCUGAAUCUCUACUCUUUAUCAGGAUAUGGAACAGAUGCUAUCAUCUACUUAAAGGUAUCCCUUGAAUUCAAUAGCAAAAUCCUGUUUCUAAAACCAUUGCUCCUUUUAUAGCCUUGAGUGCUAUGGUCUGGAGUGAAUUCCCCAAACUGAGUUAAUGCAAAUAAUGACUACAGGUCAUUCAUUCUCUUCUCUUUCUGGGUGUGUGUACAUUAUUUAAUAUGAUAACUUACCAAAGAGGAAGCUGGGCCAUACUACCUGCCUCAAGUGAAGCAAAAUUGUUUCCUAAGAAGGUUAAUACAUUACCAAAGUUUCAGAAUGAGGACAUGUUCAUGUGAAUUUUUUAAGGCAACUCCUUUUGGCAUCUAUGAGAGUAGCUGUGCUUUU
rnacentral:lncRNA from 1 species